rnacentral:rRNA from 1 species
GUAGGGAAUAUUGGGCAAUGGAGGCAACUCUGACCCAGCCAUGCCGCGUGCAGGAAGACGGUCCUCUGGAUUGUAAACUGCUUUUGAAUGGGAAGAAACGUAGCUUUGCGAAGCUAUUUGACGGUACUAUUAGAAUAAGCACCGGCUAACUCCGUGCCAGCAGCCGCGGUAAUACGGAGGGUGCAAGCGUUAUCCGGAUUUAUUGGGUUUAAAGGGUGCGUAGGCGGCUUUAUAAGUCUGGGGUUAAAGGCGGCAGCUUAACUGUACGCAUGCCCUGGAAACUGUGAAGCUUGAGUGACUUGGAGGUAGCUAGAAUUCCCUGUGUAGCGGUGAAAUGCAUAGAUACGGGGAGGAAUACCGAUUGCGAAGGCAUGUUACUACGAGUAAACUGACGCUGAUGCACGAAAGCGUGGGGAUCAAACAGGAUUAGAAACCCGUGUAGUCC